GACACACUGAGUGGGCCAACUUGCUAAUCCACCACCAGGCUCACCUCACCUCCCCAGGCUGAGGUCAGCAUCUUGGGCUGAGCUCCUGGUCCAUUUUAGGGAAAGUCCAGCUGUCUCAAUCAUACACUGAUUUUUUGGGCCUGGACUUUCUGCUAGGCCCACCUCCACAGCAUCCAGACCUAGGCCCAAAUUAGUCAGUGCCUUGAACCU
rnacentral:lncRNA from 1 species